CCAGAGCGGAGGGUAUCUGCUGCGCCUGAGAUGAGUAAACUGUCGUUUCGGGCGCGGGCGUAGACGCCUCGAAGCCGCUGC
rnacentral:pre_miRNA from 1 species